UACGAAGGGGGCUAGCGUUGCUCGGAAUCACUGGGCGUAAAGCGCACGUAGGCGGAUUGCUAAGUCAGGGGUGAAAUCCUGGAGCUCAACUCCAGAACUGCCUUUGAUACUGGCGAUCUUGAGUCCGGGAGAGGUGAGUGGAACUGCGAGUGUAGAGGUGAAAUUCGUAGAUAUUCGCAAGAACACCAGUGGCGAAGGCGGCUCACUGGCCCGGUACUGACGCUGAGGCACGAAAGCGUGGGGAGCGAACAGG
rnacentral:rRNA from 1 species